GAUCAUGGCUCAGGACGAACGCUGGCGGCGUGCCUAACACAUGCAAGUCGAACGGAGUUGUUCCUUCGGGGACAACUUAGUGGCGAACGGGUGAGUAACGCGUGAGAAACCUGCCUUUCAGUGGGGGACAACAGUUGGAAACGACUGCUAAUACCGCAUAAUGUUAUUUGGGGGCAUCCCUGAAUAACCAAAGAUUUAUUGCUGAAAGAUGGUCUCGCGUCUGAUUAGCUAGUUGGCGAGGUAACGGCUCACCAAGGCGACGAUCAGUAGCCGGUCUGAGAGGAUGAACGGCCACAUUGGGACUGAGAUACGGCCCAGACUCCUACGGGAGGCAGCAGUGGGGAAUAUUGGGCAAUGGGGGGAAACCCUGACCCAGCAACGCCGCGUGAAGGAAGAAGGCCUUCGGGUUGUAAACUUCUUUUAGCAGGGACGAAGGACGUGACGGUACCUGCAGAAAAAGCAACGGCUAACUACGUG
rnacentral:rRNA from 1 species